ACUGCUGUUGACACCACCAACAGUGCUAAAGACACUACUACAACAGCUUCUGACACCACCAACAGUGCUAAAGACACUACCACAACUGCUUCUGACACCACCAACAGUGCUAAAGACACUACUACAACAGCUUCUGACACCACCAACAGUGCUAAAGACACUACCACAACAACUUCUGACACCGCAUCAACUGCUGUUGACGCAACCACUACUACUAGUCACAUGGCAACCAGUGUUGGUGACACACCCCCAACUACUGUUGAUAUUACCAUAACUGCUAGUCACAGCACCACUAAUGCUGUUAAAACCAUCACAAGUGCUAGUGAGACCACCAACACAACAGCUAGUCACACUGCCACAAAUCCUGCUGACAUCACCAUCACUGCUGUUAACACCACCAGCAGUGUGAGUGAUUCCACGACAAUUACUGGACACACCACCACUGCUAGUCAUAGCAGCACCACACCUGUUGACACAACCAACAGUGCUAUUGACACCACCACCAGAUCUAGUGACCACACCGAGACUGCUGUUGACACUACGGUCAGUACUAGAGAAACCACCAAUACAGCAACUGACACCACCACUACCAGCAAUAGUGACAUCUCCACAGCUGCUGGUCACACCACCACCAGAGCUAUGGAUAACACCACCUCAGCUGUUGACACCACCACCAGUGCUAGCAAAACCAUCAUAGUUGCUACUAACACUUCAAGUGCUGUUGACACCACCACUGUUGCUUUUGAUUCCACCAAAACUGCUGUUGACACAGCCACCACAAGGACAUUUGACACCACCAACAAUGCUACUGACACUGCCACAACUGCAGCUAACAUCAUGAGCACUACUGGUAAUCCCACUACCACAAAUUCUAUUGACACCAUCAAACCUUCUGAAGACACCACCACCACCAUCGUUAGUCACAGCACCACCACUCCCAUUGACACAACCAAAACCGCUGGUGACACCACCACCAGCUCUAGCCAAAGCAUCAUAGUUGCUACCUCCACAAAUGCUGUUGACACAAUCUCCACCAUUAGUGAUACUACAAGUGCUGGUGACACCACAGUUGAGUCCACCAAAAUUGCUGUUGACACAACCACCAGUGCAAGUACAACCACCACAACAGCUUUUGACAGCAUUAGUAGUGUUCCUGCCUCAACUGCAGCUAGUCUCACUACCAAAAAGUCUGUUGACACCACCACCACUGUUAGUCAGAGCACCACCACUCCUGUUGACACCACCACUAGUUCGAAUGACCACCCCAAAACUGCGGUUGAAACCACUGUCAUUACCAGAGAAACAACCAAAAUGGCCACCGACACAACCACAACCAGCACAAGUGACACCACCAGCUCAGCUAGCUCAACCACCAAAACUGCUGUUGACACGACCGCCGGUGCUAGUACAACCACCACAAAGGCAUCUGACAUCAUCAGCAGUGUUACCAUGGCCACUACUGCUAGUCCCACUACCACAACUUCUGCUGAAACCACCACCACUGCUAUUGGCAGCACCACCACAUCAGAUUUCUGCACGUUCCUCAACAACUACAACAGUAUCGACCAGUACCUGGAGAAGGAGCCGGUUGUAUCUGCACCUGGGGGCAGGCAGACAUUGGCAUGUGUUUGGUCUCGUGCUNAUAAACCUAUAAAUAGA
rnacentral:lncRNA from 1 species